UACGUAGGGGGCAAGCGUUGUCCGGAUUUAUUGGGCGUAAAGCGCACGCAGGCGGUCUCUUAAGUUUCGAGUGACAGGUCAGGGCUUAACCCUGGCAGGCCUUGGAAAACUGGGGGACUUGAGGGCUUCAGAGGGACGCGGAAUUCCAGGUGGAGCGGUGAAAUGCGUAGAGAUCUGGAAGAACACCGAAGGCGAAGGCAGCGUUCUGGGAUGACACUGACGCUCAUACACGAAAGCGUGGGGAGCAAACAGG
rnacentral:rRNA from 1 species